rnacentral:tRNA from 1 species
GGUCGUUAGCUCAGUUGGUGUAGAGCAGUUGACUUUUAAUCAAUUGGUCGCAGGUUCGAAUCCUGCACGACCACCA